AACGAACGCUGGCGGCAGGCCUAACACAUGCAAGUCGAACGAACCCUUCGGGGUGAGUGGCGCACGGGUGCGUAACACGUGGGAAUAUACACAUAGGUAAGGAAUAACUCAGGGAAACUUGCGCUAAUACCUUAUAAUAACUCCGGUUCAAAGAUUUAUCGCCUAUGGAUUAGCCCGCGCUAGAUUAGUUUGUUGGUGAGGUAAGAGCUCACCAAGACUACGAUCUAUAGCUGGUCUUAGAGGAUGAUCAGCCACACUGGAACUGAGACACGGUCCAGACUCCUACGGGAGGCAGCAGUGAGGAAUAUUGCGCAAUGGAGGAAACUCUGACGCAGCCAUGCCGCGUGAAUGAAGAAGGCCUUAGGGUUGUAAAAUUCUUUCAGAUGCGAAGAUAAUGACGGUACCAUCAGAAGAAGCUCCGGCUAAAUUCGUGCCAGCAGCCGCGUAAAGUCAGUGACU
rnacentral:rRNA from 1 species